rnacentral:tRNA from 1 species
UGGAGUAUAGCCAAGUGGAAAGGCAUCGGUUUUUGGUACCGGCAUGCAAAGGUUCGAAUCCUUUUACUCCAG